rnacentral:lncRNA from 12 species
UACACUAUGGGCUCAGUCAGUUUCAGGUGAAUGCUCCCCAACAGCCACCUGGGGAUGAGCCUAUCAUGCCAGAGAAAUGUAGGCUGGGAGGGUUUCAUAACAACACCGAGCACAAGCUGGCCUGUUUUGAGGAUUUGGAUAAAGUACUUUAGGUUCAUAUCCCUGGCAUCAAACUACCACUCCAAAGAAAGCAAUGUUUUCCUCUCGUUCCCUCUUACAGGGCAGUGCUCUGAUGUCCUGGACAAGCAAAAAAAGGAACUAGCACAAGAAACAUUAACUUAUGUUUCAGUUUGGUAAAGGUGAUGAUGCCGAUGAUGAUGCCUCCUUGUGAGCAGACAAGAAAACUGAGCUCCAGAGAUUUUAAUUUGUAACUGCUAAAUAGAAGAAUUGAAAUAUGAAAUUAGGACAUCUGGUUUUAAAUAAUUGAGAUAAUUUCUCUCUUAAGUGGUGUAUAUAGAGUGAUAAGUACGGAAAAACAGGGAAGAGUGAAUUUUUUUUUAAUCAAUAUGAUGUUAUCUUUUAUAGCUCAUUUCCCUGAUUCUAUUGUACUGUGGCUAAGACGUCUUGACCUCACCUCAAAGGACAAACAAACAGUGGCAGGAGAAAUACAUGUUGAGUGUGUGGAAAAGCACAGAAAAGGGGAAAUGAUCAAGUAUCUUCAAUGUACCACUUUAAAGAAUGAGACUUUUUACGGUUGCCCAAAGGGUUCUUAAAACAUGGGGCAUACCAUAUAAAAUAUAAUUUAGAAGAGCUAUCCAGUCCCUCUGAGAUAAGCAAAUGGCUAUAGGGAUUUUAGCCAGCUUAGAAGGCAAAGCCAGGACACUUUCAGCCUCAUUUAUAUCCUUGAAAGGAACUGUGGAAUACAGUAUUUUAUUUGGCUUCAUUUCUAUUGGCAGGGAAAAAAAAAAGAGAGAGAGAGAGAGAAAGAAAGAAACAUUAUCAGCUCAAAAGGAUUUUUCAGGUCUUAAGGAUUAACCAUUGAAAAGAAAGAAUUUUAUUAAAACUUCUUUACUUUAACCAUCUCUAAAGGAUUGAUUUGAACUAUAGAUUCCAAGAGGUUGUAAAUUAGGUAGCAGAAUCAUUCAUCUUUACAAAAUCAACCAGUCAGGGCGUCAAAAUCUAAACUCCUUGGAAAAAAUAAUGUUAUAUUGCUUUCAAUUGAUUAUUUUUAUACUGAGAACAUGAUUAGAAGUUACUCCAUUGGUUAGAAAAAAAUGCUGUUUUUAACUUCAAGUGCACAAUUUAUUUCUCCUAUAUCUGCCUUGAGUAUUUUCUUAAAUGAAAGGAUAAAUAUUUAAUUUUUAUUUAUUUAGCAGUUUUCAAAAUGAGUUAGUUCCCUAGUAUCCUCAAAAACCGAUCAAUGUUUGUGAAUUUAAGUAGGCACUCUAUUGCAGUUAUUAUCCUUGUGGAUGUUCGUAUUGUCUUAAUUUUGGUCACUGGAAGCAUCUUUUAGCAUCAAGUCUUUUGGACACAAACUUAGUGGUUCUGACAGCUUUCUCACUCGUUUACAAAGCUCAUCCUGUAUACUUUGUAGUCCAAGACUAGACUCAGCCAUUUCUUAAGGAGCCUGGCUUCUUUUUAGUAGGCAACAUAUUUCAGAGACCACAGUUGAAUGUGGGAGGAACCAACAUUUUCUGUAAGAUAUUUUAGCAUAGCUUGUUAAUCAAAAUCUUUAAAUUAUUAUAAUUACAUUUCAGUACCCAACCAGAGUAAUUAAUUUUAUUUUUUUAUCUUUAAUUUUUUUUUUACACCUUUUGACCUCCUUCACCUAUUUCCCCCACUCCCAACUCCCACUUGUGGCAGCCACCAAUCUGUUCUCUGUAUCUAUAUUCUUGUUUUUUUUCCCUCUCUGUCUCAGAUUCUGCUUAUCAGAGAGAUAAUACAGUAUUUGUCUUUCUCUGUCUGAUUUAUUUCACUUAGCAUAAUGCCAUCCAGGUCCAUUCAUGUUGUUGCAAAUGGCAAGAUUUCAUUUUUUUCUGUUGCUGAAUAAUAUUCCUCUGUGUGUGUGUGUGUGUGUGUGUGAGAGAGAGAGAGAGAGAGAGAGAGAGAGAGUGUAGCGCAGUUUCUUUAUCCAUUCAUUGAUAGGCAUUUAGGCUGUUUCCAUAUUUUGGCUCUUGUAUAUAAUGCUGCAUAAACAUGGGGUUACAUACAACUUUUUGAGUUAGCAUUUUCAUUUCCUUCUUAUAAAUACCCAGAAGUGGAAUUGAUGGAUCAUGUGGUAAGUUCUACUUGAAUUUUUUGAGAAGUGUCUUUACUGUUUUUUACAGUGGCUGUACCAGUUUACAUCUCCAUUACCCAUGCACAAAUGUUCCCUUUUCUUUACAUACUUGCUAACACUUGUUAUUUUUCGUCUUUUUGAAAAUAACCAUUCUAACAGGUGUAACCAUCUCAUUAUGGUUUUAACUUACAUUUUCCUGAUAAUUAAAGAUGUUGAAGAUCUUUUCAUAUGCAACAUUUUUUUUUUAUUAAUAGCUUCCUUUUCCGUGCAGCUUUUUAGUUUAAUUAGUUCCUCUUUUUUAUUUGUGCUUUAGUUGCCUUUACUUUUGGUAUCAGAUUUAAAAAGUCACCACCAAGACAUACGUUAAGUUGCUUACCUCCAAUGUUUUCUUUUAGGAGUUGUAUGGUUUCAGGUUUUGUGUUAAAGCCUUUAAUCCCUGUUCUUUAAUCCUUUAAAUUUUGUGAAUACUGUCAGAUAGUGGUCUAGUUUCACUCUUUUGCAUAUGGCUGUCCAGUUUUUCCAUCACUUUAUUGAAGAGACAGUUCUUUCCCUGUUGUAUAUUCUUGACUCUUUUAUUGUAAAUUAAUUGACUGUAAAUUUCUGUGGGUUUACUUCGAGACUUUUUAUUCUAUUCCAUUCCAUUUUGUCCUUAGUCUCUUACAGUUUCUAUAUACAUGUCUUUUACCUCCUUGGUUAAGUUCAUUCUUAGUUUUUUUUUUUUUUAAAGCAAUUAUAAAUGGGAUUUUUUUCUUAAUUUCUCUGAUAGUUUGUUAUUAGUGUAUUAAAAUACAGCAGGUUUUUGUGUAUUGAUUUUGUAUCCUCCAACUUUUCAUUAUGUUCAAUAAAAGUGGUAAGAGUGUCCUUGUCUUAUUCCUG